AAUAUAGAACUUUGGAUGGGAAAAAUAGAAGAUUGGCAGACAACCUCUAUUUGCAACCCUAAAUCUCUUUUAGACUAAAUUUUGCUACAAACCCUCUCCAACGAAAUCUCUUCCUGAGAACCACCAUAACUCACCGUCAUCUACGGCCACCAUUUGCGAUCGAAGUGCAGAACCACUGUCGCCUCGUGCCAGUCGCCACCUCAACUGCCGUAUCGUUGUAAGCCAGAAGGGCAGAACGUCGUCAUCUCAACUCCGGCAGCACUGAGAUUCACUAUAUUUUGCUUAAUACACUCAACACAUGCGAUUAACUCAGAAACAGUGGUGGAGAAGUGUAGAAAGUAAGGUCUAUUGGGAGAACUUACAUUCAUCUAUAGCAUCAAGAAAGUAAGGUCUAUUGGGAGAAGAGGAGAAGAAGAAAGGGCUUUCUCUUUCUCCUGCCGAUUCUGUCUGCGUCCAAAGGAGGAAAUUCACCAUUCACAUAUGUCAUUGUUGACAACCAAAAGUGGGUGUGUUAGUCCUUGCAAUAUGUGGGGAAUUUUAUGAGAUUGCAGGGGGAUAUGGGCUGACACUAAGGUUCUGUGUGUCUUCCCCUUUCUACUCAUGCAAGUGCGAAUUGAAAUUGGGAACUUGGGCAACAUGCUUCGUAUUAUAAUUCCUGCAGUUUGUAAAGAGAAAGGCAGCCCAUCUAGAGGCUUAUUUGGGUGCAGCGAGCAUUUUGAGGCUUAUUUGGGGUGCAUCAAGCAUACUUACUUAGUAUUGAUUAAGUAGUAUAUAUUUUCAUGAUUUUUUUUGGUGUAUGGUAAUAGUCCAUUGUUGGAAGAACUAUAGACAUGACUAUAAUUUUUGUUGUAAAUAAUUUUGAUGUUUAAAUA